rnacentral:rRNA from 1 species
UACAGAGGGUGCGAGCGUUGUCCGGAAUCACUGGGCGUAAAGGGCGCGUAGGUGGUUUGAUAAGGGUGUGGUGAAAGUCCGGGGCUCAACCCCGGAUCUGCCGUGCCGACUGUCAAACUCGAGGGCUGUAGAGGCAGACGGAAUUCCGGGUGUGAGCGGUGGAAUGCGUAGAGAUCCGGAGGAAGACCGGUGGCGAAGGCGGUCUGCUGGGCAGUUCUGACACUGAUGCGCGACAGCGUGGGAGCA